AUUGAACGCUGGCGGCAGGCUUAACACAUGCAAGUCGAGCGGGGAAAGUUGCUUCGGUAACUAACCUAGCGGCGGACGGGUGAGUAAUGCUUAGGAAUCUGCCUAUUAGUGGGGGACAACGGUUCCGAAAGGAACGCUAAUACCGCAUACGCCCUACGGGGGAAAGCAGGGGAUCUUCGGACCUUGCGCUAAUAGAUGAGCCUAAGUCGGAUUAGCUAGUUGGUGGGGUAAAGGCCUACCAAGGCGACGAUCUGUAGCGGGGUCUGAGAGGAUGAUCCGCCACACUGGGACUGAGACACGGCCCAGACUCCUACGGGAGGCAGCAGUGGGGAAUAUUGGACAAUGGGCGGAAGCCUGAUCCAGCCAUGCCGCGUGUGUGAAGAAGGCCUUUUGGUUGUAAAGCACUUUAAGCGAGGAGGAGGCUCCUUUAGUUAAUACCUAAAGAGAGUGGACGUUACUCGCAGAAUAAGCACCGGCUAACUCUGUG
rnacentral:rRNA from 1 species